rnacentral:tRNA from 1 species
GGGCGUGUGGUCUAGUGGUAUGAUUCUCGCUUUGGGCGACUUCCUGAAUAAACAGGAAGACAAGGCAUGCGAGAGGUCCUGGGUUCAAUUCCCAGCUCGCCCC